UCUACAAAUAGGUGGUGAUCCUCUAUUACUUCACUCCACGCCAUUUAUCUUGGUACGAAAAUGCUGCUGUUUCUCUGUUGGUGACACAGUUGUGAGUGCGAUCCAUUCACCCAGUCACUGAUCCAUUGCAUACAAUAAUUCUGGCUCUUGCCUGUCUAAAGCAAAAGCCUUGAAUUUAUCUCCAUAAGCAAUUCUUCCUUUUCAAGAUCUGUUUCUGCUUAAUUUCUAUAUUCAUGCAACACUUCUCAGAUAAGGAAAAGGUUCGACAUCAU